ensembl:lncRNA
CCUAAGAGUCUAACUCUGAAAAACAGCACUCUAGGGAAGAAAAACAGGAGAGACUGGAGCAACUGGAUCUGUAACAUGAGAUUCAAGGUCAUGUCAAGCCACUCAGUGGGCCAGGUACCUCCUAUGAAUGCCAAGUCUUUGAUCUAAACUUUGGGCGAGAUUUCUGGCUCGGUUGCUGGAGUGAGGAAUGGUAAUGAGUAUGACCUCUUUUGGAAGAGGAGUGGAUAGUUGAGUUUAACAACUGAGUGCCCUUUCUCCCAUACCUCUGCUUCAAGAGAGUAUAAGAGAGAAUAAAACAAUAAAUUAUCCCUUCUGUUCAGAUAGCAGUAUCAAAUCCUACAUUAGAAAGGAGAUUUUCAAAAUUCAAAAACUUAAGAAAUAUCAAAAUGCCCUCCCUACAAAGAAGAACUUGCAAAGCUUCUAUUUGGGGUAUAAGUAAUGACUGAAAUAGAAGAGACAUAGCAUUUCAUCAAAGGUAAGAUUAAUACAGG